ACAAGUCUGCAAUUUUUCUUACAUUCAUUUAGAUGUUGAUACCAUUGAAAUGAGGUAGAGUGAGACCUCCUGUUGUGUCUUCACCUCUCUGGUUGAGCUUCCUGAGGCUCCUUGGCUCCGCCCCCGUCUUUGAAACGUCAACAGCGGUAAACUUGAGGCUCCCUAACGGGAAGAUGAACCCUGGUUCCGAGGAGCCGCAGUGGAGGAAAGUUCACUCAGUUACAGGAGUGGUACCGCGGUCUAGACAUGGACACCGAGCAGCUGCGAUCCGGGAGCUGAUUGUUGUGUUCGGUGGAGGAAACGAAGGGAUAGCGGAGGACCUCCAUGUUUACAACACUGUCUCUAAGCAGUGGUUUCUGCCUGCUGUACGGGGUGAUAUCCCCCCCGGCUGUGCUGCCCAUGGCUUCAUCUGCGAAGGAACUCGUAUACUGGUCUUUGGAGGCAUGGUUGAGUUUGGAAAAUACACCAACAGCGUCUAUGAACUUCAGGCCAGUCGCUGGCUGUGGAAGAAGCUGAAACCCAAAGCACCAAGGAACGGCUUGCUUCCCUGCCCUCGCAUCGGACACAGCUUUACUCUAGUGGGUAACAAGUGCUACAUGUUUGGAGGGCUGGCCAACGAUAGUGAAGACCCCAAUGGCAACGUACCAAGAUACAUGCGGGACUUCUAUGAGCUGGAGCUGCAGCCGCUAUCAGGGGUAAAAGGCUGGAGCAUCCCAGAGACAAAGGGUGGAGGUCCCUCAGCACGGGAGUCCCACACCUCAGUUGCCUACACAGGCAUCAGCUCCCCGAAGCUCUACAUCUUUGGAGGCAUGCAGGGAUGCCGGUUAGACGACCUGUGGCAGCUUGACCUGGAAACAAUGGUUUGGUCAAUGCCUGAAACCAGAGGUUGCACUCCACUUCCCAGAAGCCUUCACUCUGCCAAUGUUAUUGGAAACAAGAUGUACGUUUUUGGUGGCUGGAUUCCUGUUCCAGAGUCGGACAAACACAAUGCUUUAGGAACUGAAUGGAUCUGCAGUGACUCCUUAACUGUACUCAACCUGGACACUAUGAUCUGGCAGAACCUGGGCCCAGAGCAGCAGGAAGACAUCGAGUCCCAGCUGCAGAGCCAGGGGCCCCAGAGUGACGAUCAGUACGCCUGUAGGCCCAGAGCCAGGGCCGGACACUGUGCUGCCACUGUCGGCUCCAGACUUUACAUCUGGAGCGGCCGUGACGGAUACCGUAAGAGCUGGAACUACCAGGUCUGCUGCAAGGACCUGUGGUACCUGGAGACAGAUCGACCAGCCACCCCAGAGGCAGUGGUACUCAUCAAAUCCACAGUCAGCAUGCUUCAUGUGGCGUGGCGCCCCCUGGCGGCAGCAGACUGCUACAUCCUUCAGAUCCAGCCUGCACCUCCACCAGCCAAACCAGUCGAUCCAACCGGAACGGGUAAAAACUAUGCAGGUGUCCAGUCUCUUCAACCUCAAACUGGAGGAAGCACUAAUACAGAAGCAUCAGCUCAGGAGGCUUCAGCUCAGAAGGAAAUUGCAGAAAAACUGAACUGCUCAGCAGAGACUAAAGCACAAGGAGGGAGGAGUGCUGGGAGGGAGACGGAGAAACACUCAGACACACAAGGCUGCGGUGCUGGACAGGAGACUUCCGUUUCAGAGGUCAGCAGCUCAGUUCAUCCAGAGAAAGAACCUGUUCCAGGUGACAAGACAGCAGAUAUCUACGCCCAAACACAUCAGCUCCAGCAGAGUCCAGAUGGAGGAGUGUGGUUUGAUGUUGGUGUCUUCAAAACGCUCUUCUCUGAGGUCAGCCACUACUUUCUACCUGCUGACAGUGAGCACGCGACUGCAGCCAUCAGCAGCCGGCUGCUCAACACUAAAGAGAGGAAGCUGCCGGGGCCUCAGGACUACCAGGGCAGAGAGAAGCAGGAGCUGGCUCCAGGUCUGACCUACAGGUUCAGAGUUGCAGGCAUCAACUACUUUGACCAGGGAGACUUCAGCCCAGUUAGCGAGUUCAAGACCUGCCAACCUGGUUUUCCUGGAGCGCCCUCUGCUGUCACAAUCACCAAGGCCAAUGAUUCGGUCCACAUCACAUGGGAGGCUCCCCCCUCUCCAUCAGGCCGGAUCCUGGAGUACUCCAUGUACAUGGCGGUGAGGAAGAGCCGCUCCACCAGCUCGGAGCGUCCAGGUCAGAUGGCCUUUAUCAGGAUCUACCGCGGCACCAAGAUGUCCUGCAUGGUCAGCUCCACCCAGCUGGAUAACGCCCAGAUCGACUGCUCUGCAUCCAACCGGCCUGCUGUGGUCUUCAGAAUAGCCGCUAAGAAUGAGCAGGGCUAUGGCCCGGCGACACAGAUCCGCUGGAUUCAAGGUGGAGAAGCUUGACUUUCUUUAGGCUACGUUUACACGAUGACAGUCUGAACAGAAGACGCAAAAGUGGCAUCUAAACCUUUUAUUUCGCAUUUAUACGAGCGUUUUCAGGAGGAAAUCUGACGCAUGGAAAUAAUCCCACGUUUGUUUAUUUCCCUGCAUUACACAUUAGCCGGUCACACAUUAGCCGGUUGCAUUAGCCGGAUGCACAUUAGCCGGUCACACAUUAGCCGGUCACACAUUAGCCGGUCACGCAUUAGCCAGUUGCAUUAGCAGGUUGCAUUAACCGGUCACACAGUAGCAGGUCACACUCCUUCCACAAAGUUCUCCACCAUCCACUAGAUCUCCCAGGUCUCGUCCAAAGCCGUCUGGCUCGCCUCCUACCAAUUGGUGCAUCUGAAAUGUGAUAGAGAUCCCAGUAAACUAAAAGCACCUGCAUCCAAAGCCGACAGCAAUGCUCAGGCCGAUCAGGAUGCUGCUGACAGCUCCAGUUGAAAAUGUUUGGACCGAUGAUGCCAUAUUUUGGAAAAGACAUUAUGUACACUCAGGAAGUUGGCAGCAUACGCCACUCAGAUGUUGUAUAUUUCUUAGAUAGUUUUGUUAAUUUAUUUUUUUAUGUAUUUAAUUAUUCCCUUGUAAAUACAUUUUCAUAGAAAACUUGACCACUUACAUAGGGAUGUUUUAGUUAAACAAUUGUUUUGUUAAGUAAUGAGUAAUAUGAUGUAGACCAAACUACAAGUAUGACUUCAGAAAUGAAACUCUUCAGAUGUUGGAGGUGCCUUAGCUCACUGCAUCAGCCACUGAUGCUGCUUUAAACCGUAUGUGGUGGUUUGGAGGAAACAUAUGAGAUAAGAUGUUUUGCAGAACCAGUGUAUAUCAGAAAGAAACACUUUUUAUUGUUUUAUUAUUUGAUGAUUUACUAUGAUGCAGGUUCCGUUUAAGAUCUCUGUUAAUAUGUUUUGUUACUAUACACAACUGUGUGUUACUACAAACUUUUUGACUAACAUUACAUCACUUGAUCACAUCUUUUGGUUUAUGAUUUUGUUGUAUUUCUUUUUUUUAUCACUGCCACCAGAUUGUUAACAUUAAUUACCAGUUACAAUUGUAAGAUAAAAAGGUCAACACUUUGACUAAAGAACAUAGCACCACUAACAUUUAUUAUUUGACUUAAUGAUAUUAAAAAUGCCACAAAUAUUGCAGGAAGGGAUUUGCAUGUUAAAAGUAUUAUUAUGUCUGGUUUGACCAGCUCACCAUUUAAUGGGCAUGUUGUAUUAUUAUAAUCUACACUAUCCACCAUCAUAUCCUGACUCUGUAUUAUUACAGGCCUUUUUAAUCGUUGUAGUGAAGGAAUUUGAGGAGAGAUUGUUAUCCAGAUCUCAAAUCAUUGUGCCAGUUGUUGCUUCACUUCAUGUUCUUGUCCAAAGAAGAGCAAUUCUCUUAUUUUUUUAAUUGAAACGAUUAUUUUCGUUAUCGAAUAAUCUGUUGAUUAUUUAAAUGAUUAAUCGCUUAGUUGUUUGGCCAAUAAAAUGUUGAAAAAUAUUAAUCAGUGU